AUGGCUACCACCAAGCAUUUGGCCAUUGCCGUUCUUGUCCUCCUUAGCAUAGGCACGAGCACCAGCGCUCGAAUCCUCCUGGGAUACGCUCCUGGCGGAGGAGGCGGUGGCGGAGGCAGCGGUGGAGGUGGUGGUGCUGGCUAUGGUGGAUCAGGGUCUGGUUCUGGGUAUGGCGAGGGUAGUGGAAGUGGAGGAGGCGGUGGCGGCCAAGGUGGCGGUGGUGCAGGCUAUGGGCAUGGGUCCGGUGAGGGUUCUGGCUAUGGCGGUGGUGCUAGUGGUGGUGGUGGUGGGCACGGAGGUGGUGGCGGUGGCGGACAAGGUGGUGGGUCUGGCGGCGGCUCAGGCUACGGUUCCGGGUCUGGCAGUGGAUAUGGUGGAGGGUAUGGAGGCGGCGGCGGCGGUGGCGGCGGCGGAGGUGGUCAAGGUGGAGGCUCUGGCUAUGGCUCCGGGUCUGGCUCUGGAUACGGUUACGGCUCCGGCGGUGGCUUUGGAAAUGGACACCACUGA
rnacentral:rRNA from 1 species